rnacentral:rRNA from 1 species
GAACUGAAGAGUUUGAUCCUGGCUCAGAUUGAACGCUGGCGGCAUGCCUUACACAUGCAAGUCGAACGGCAGCACGGGUGCUUGCACCUGGUGGCGAGUGGCGAACGGGUGAGUAAUACAUCGGAACAUGUCCUGUAGUGGGGGAUAGCCCGGCGAAAGCCGGAUUAAUACCGCAUACGAUCCACGGAUGAAAGCGGGGGACCUUCGGGCCUCGCGCUAUAGGGUUGGCCGAUGGCUGAUUAGCUAGUUGGUGGGGUAAAGGCCUACCAAGGCGACGAUCAGUAGCUGGUCUGAGAGGACGACCAGCCACACUGGGACUGAGACACGGCCCAGACUCCUACGGGAGGCAGCAGUGGGGAAUUUUGGACAAUGGGCGCAAGCCUGAUCCAGCAAUGCCGCGUGUGUGAAGAAGGCCUUCGGGUUGUAAAGCACUUUUGUCCGGAAAGAAAACC